GGCCCAGGCUCUGCCCUGUCCCCGCACUGCCAUCUCCUUCUUUCCUCCUUGGCACCCCAAAAAUUGCCGCUGGAUCUAAACUAGAUUAGACUAGUGGAUUGUAAAUAAAUAAACAAACUAGGCUCUCUCUGUUCAUUCAUUAUUUCCUGGAGCAGUUCUAAACUGGGAUGACUUGGGAGACAGAAAACGGCAGGUUUAUAGAGGGAAAGGGCCUGGAAAGGACGGUCGGAGUUUGUGGUGGUUGUUGUUGAAGGGCGGGGCGUGGAAUGCGGAAAAUGUGUAAAAUGUGUUACGUAACAGUGAACAAAAAUAAGACUGCAUAAUAAAACUUUUGUUUCUGUAUUUUGUAGAGAUUCUAAUAAAAUGACCAGAUAAAAGAUAACUAAACAUUGCAUUUCACUUAGUAUAUCAAUGCACUGUUCAAAUCUUUCAUUAACUUUUUAGUCCUCAAAAUUACCGUGAGAGCUAAAUUCUGUCAUUAUCUCUAUUUUACUGAUAUUGAAACUGAGGCACAGAGAGGUAAAGUAAUUUAGUUGAGGUCACACAGAUAACAAGUGGCAAAGCUAAUAAGGGGUGAACCCAGACAAUCGGUUUGGGAACUGGACUGGCUGUACAUUAUAUUUUGACUAUAAACUAUACACUGUCUAUAUGUUGUAUAUUCAAACAUUCUAGAAAUAGGUACUGAAUAACUGUUUUCCCUAAAUCUCAGUUCCGAGUCAGUAUCUCUAACUGUCCAUACUUGAGAGCCCUGGGUUACUGAUCUUAAUGAUUUCCAUUAGCACACAAUCUUUGCCUCCUUUCCAUUCCAGGUGAAAACAUGUUCUGAAUCCUCCAAAUACCCCUACUGCAAUAAGGCAAACUAUAGCCAUAUGAUAGGGUGCAGAUGUGUGCUUGGCAAAUGUUGCCUAUAUAUGUGAAUGUGUGUGGAAAUUGUGUUCCUUCCUAGUGUUCAAAGGAUUAUAAUUGGACGAUAAAUAGUUUAAGAAAAAUGGGUGUAACUAUUAAUAGAAAUGGACUUCUCAAUUCUGGCUAGGAAAAAAUAGGAGAGGGCUGGGCGUGGUG
rnacentral:lncRNA from 10 species